CUUGAUGAUUACCUGUUCUGUUCAUUUCCUCUGGGGCAUCUGGCAUUGGCCACUGUCAGAAGAGAGGAUAUUGGGCUGGAUGGACCUUUGGUCUGACCCAGUAUGGCCAUUUUUAUGUUCUUUUCUUGGGAUAUGUGAAACUAGACUGGAGGAAGCCCUGGAGAUUGGACUGUAGGGAACAAUCCUGCAGAAGCCCCUGGGAAUGAAUAAAAAAUAUCGAAUAGACCUUUUGUAACUCAGAUGUCUAUAUUAUCUGACCAUAUUGUACAAGCACAUUAGAGGGAUGUUUCUCUUAAAUGAUUAGCAGUGAGCUAGUUAACAUACUCAGCUGAAAUUUAACAGCCCAUCAAAAUUAGUAGGGCAAUUUCCAGCUCUCAUAAGGUAAAGCUGGUUAGACAGGCUUGGCUAGAGGGUCCUACAGUGCAAAAAAACCAAAACAGUGCUGAUUCAGAUACAGCCUAGAAUACAUACUAGUAAGAACCAAACAGAGUUAGCUGCUACAGUCACCUAAUAUUAUAUUGUGUUGAAGACAUAAACCAUGUAAGCCAAGCAAGUUACUAAACUGGUUACAAACUCAAAAACACAGAGCCUUAGGCAGCCUGAAACAAUAGCUCUGACUACAUAUUUAGGAAUACAUACAACACAGCAAUAGGUCACAUUGGGAAGGUUUUCUCUGAAACAAAAAGGUCAAAUUCUGAAGAAAUCAAUGGGCACCGCAUCAUGCCAGAAUGACUUUAUGGCCUGAUACAGCUCACAGCCCUGCCGAGAAAAGGAGAACUUAAUGCCCUCAGAUAAGACCCCUCGUCAUUACAUUAUUUAAUUACAUAAGGCUUCUAGAAAGCUUGAGUUAAGAACAGGAAUUUGACUGCAGUCCAGCUGGGUGCGGUUGCUUAGAUCAUACUGUGUGUUAGCUUAAGAACUAAAAGCAAGAGUUUAUGUGGCAUGACUAUAGCAUAAUUGGAGUUGAAAUAAGUAAGCUGAUACUGAUGACUGGAUCUGAAAGUAACUAUCUUUUUCAUAAAGAAACAAUAAAUUAUCACUCUCCUGAUGAUAGUAAUCUUAAUACUACCUCAUGUUUCUCUUCAAAGGGCUUUACUACCAUUAAUUGAUCCUCAUAACUCCUUUGAAGUUGGUAAGUAAAUAUCAUUAUGAACAUUUUUCAGAUGAAGAAAUCCAGGCAGAGAGGUGAAAUUACUCACCUAGGACAACACGGGGUCUGUUUCACAGCCAAGAUUAGCAACCAGGAGUUUCUAGCUCCUAGUUCUAUGUUCACAAAAGUACAAAAAGUAACAUUCCAUAUUCCUGACUGCUUUCUUACAGAUGAAACAGAUCAUUGGUGACUCUCUCUAGAUUCAUAACCAGCGUCUCAUAGAUUAAAGAUAGAGAAAUAAUCAAAUGGUCUUGUAAUUAAGGGUUGUCACUGUUCUGCACAGGAGAGUCCCAAUUUUCACAGGUCCUAUUAAAUUGGGUUUGCAGGACAUUCCUAUGGGGGUCUUGAAUCAUCCUGACGCCAACAGAAGGUGGAUCAUUUGACAUGAUGAAGUUGCAUCAGUAUGGGAAAAUGCAAAAGUUGUAAUGCUAUGACACAUUUUGUAUGUAAUUACUUAAAAGAGGAUGUCUUGCUAUAAGGUGUGUGUAACCCAUGGUCAGUUAUGUUCCCACAGUCACCCAAUGAUUUGGCAAUCUUUCUGUCCUCUUCCUGCAGACUUUGGGAAGUUAUAACUUAUGAUGGAAACAAAGUUGAAUUGUAACAUGUAUGUCAGCAUUGAAGAGUUGCUACUGGAUGACCUUUUCAGUUUGAGCAAAUACACUAAUUAACUUUGCCUUA